rnacentral:rRNA from 1 species
UACGGGGGGAGCAAGCGUUGUUCGGAUUUACUGGGCGUAAAGGGCGCGUAGGCGGCCACCGCAAGUCAAUUGUGAAAUCUCCGGGCUUAACUCGGAAAGGUCAACUGAUACUGCCGUGGCUAGAGUCCGGUAGAGGAGCGUAGAAUUCCUGGUGUAGCGGUGAAAUGCGCAGAUAUCAGGAAGAACACCAAUGGCGAAGGCAGCUCGCUGGGACGUUACUGACGCUGAGACGCGAAAGCGUGGGGAGCAAACAGG